rnacentral:rRNA from 1 species
GACGAACGCUGGCGGCGUGCUUAACACAUGCAAGUCGAACGGAAAGGCCUGCUUUUCCUUGUGUAUUGCGGGUGCGCGCGUGGCGAACGGGCGAGUAACACGUGCGUGAUCUGCUCCCAACUUGUGUAUAAGCUUGGGAAACUGCGUCUAAUUCCCGACUGGACCGCAGGGUGGUGCCUGUGGUGGCAACGGAUGUUCUAGUGGUUGGGGAUGAGCUGGCGGGUUAUCAGCUUGUUGGUGGGGUAAUGGCCUACCAAGGCGGCGACGGGUAGGCGGCCUGGGGGAGUCGGCGGGCACGUUGGGACUGAGAUACGGCGCAGACGCCAACGGGCAGCAGCAGACGGGAAGAAGGCGCGGUGGGCGGAAGCCUGUUGCAGCGACGCCGAGUGGGGGAUGACGGCCUUCGGGUUGUGACCUCCUGGCGGCCGCGAGGAAGCGACCUGGAUGGAGGGGUAGUGACGGUAGUGGUAGAAGAAGCACCGGCUAACUACGUG